UACAGAGGGGGCAAGCGUUGUUCGGAAUUACUGGGCGUAAAGGGCUCGUAGGCGGCCAACUAAGUCAUACGUGAAAUCCCUCGGCUUAACCGGGGAACUGCGUCUGAUACUGGAUGGCUUGAGAUUGGGAGAGGGAUGCGGAAUUCCAGGUGUAGCGGUGAAAUGCGUAGAUAUCUGGAGGAACACCGGUGGCGAAGGCGGCGCUCUGGACCGAGACUGACGCUGAGGCGCGAAAGCGUGGGGAGCAAACAGG
rnacentral:rRNA from 1 species